rnacentral:lncRNA from 1 species
UUUUUAUAUUUUAUCUAAAAAAUUAGUCAAAAAAUAUUAUUUAAAAUUUUUAAUUUUGUAUAAGCCCUCAAAAUCUAUCCAUGUCUCCGCAUCCAAUGAUCAAGAUCCUACAGAAAAAAGGUUCUUCGUCAAUCACAGCCGUUAAAUAUCAACAACAUGGAUGAACAGUGAUGAGCAGGAGACAGAGGAGCUGUCCCUGUCAGCCAUGGCCCCAGCCGAGAGCAUGGACAAAUCUUCAACAGCGAAGCUUGGGUUCUGCGUCCACGCGUUAAAAAUCCAGGCCAUGUGUACCAAUAGCGUGUGCGAACUUUCUUCUUCUUUUCUGGCAUCGGAGGUGGCGGCCAAGCUAACGG